rnacentral:rRNA from 1 species
GACGAACGCUGGCGGCGUGCCUAAUACAUGCAAGUAGAACGCUGAAGGAGGAGCUUGCUUCUCUGGAUGAGUUGCGAACGGGUGAGUAACGCGUAGGUAACCUGCCUGGUAGCGGGGGAUAACUAUUGGAAACGAUAGCUAAUACCGCAUAACAGUAGAUAUCGCAUGAUAUCUACUUGAAAGGUGCAAUUGCAUCACUACCAGAUGGACCUGCGUUGUAUUAGCUAGUUGGUGAGGUAACGGCUCACCAAGGCGACGAUACAUACCCGACCUGAGAGGGUGAUCGGCCACACUGGGACUGAGACACGGCCCAGACUCCUACGGGAGGCAGCAGUAGGGAAUCUUCGGCAAUGGACGGAAGUCUGACCGAGCAACGCCGCGGGAGUGAAGAAGGUUUUCGGAUCGUAAAGCUCGGUUGUAAGAGAAGAACGAGUGUGAGAGUGGAAAGUUCACACUGUGACGGUAUCUUACCAGAAAGGGACGGCUAACUACGUG